UCCUAACUUUUCACUUCAUUCUUUCUCUUUUAGCGUUUUUCUUUCGCUCUAAUUAUUUUCCUCUCGCAUCACACCCUCCAUGACCAUUUCACCAAGGUACCGAAUACACUCACGAAUUUCGCUCUAGAACUCAGGACUCAAACAUUCGCCACACUCCCUCCAAUCUUGCUUUCUGGCACCGCCACACUCUUCCUCCUCGACCAAUACCCCCACGUUAUUCUCCACGACUGGGAGCUAAAUCUUGUCGUCGUCCUGGUGGCACGCGAUUACUUCAAGCUCGGGAAGCUUGAAAGGGAAAGCCAGCAACUCCCUUUACCUGGGACUUGCCUCUACCCGAGUAGUGGAAGAAAAGGCUUAGCGGCCCCUUGAAAUGUUACUCUCAAAAUAGCACAAGUACGAAAUUGUCAAGAAAUUGCAAGAUAGGAAGCAACUGGAGAAGUGCUUAUGAUAUUGUAUUGACAGAACCUGGAUUGAGUGUUAUUAUUAGUGUCGUCUUAACCAGUAGGGCUAUUUUCCAGAGAAUGAAAAACUAUACGCCGAAAAGUGCAAGAAAUAUUUGCUACUAGAGUUGUGCUUGGGAGUUACUUGGCACUGAUGACUAUCAUAUUUUUCUAGGAAAAAUUCGGAGUUAGACACCUGACUCAUGAUGAAAUGAUGACUGUUUUAUAUUUGCAAGUUAGGAGGAGAGGGAAGCUCGGUGGGCUCAUGCUCAGAGGACCCUGCAUGGACUUCAACCACCAAAAUCUUCUAGCAUUUUCAAUGAGAAAAACAGUUACAGAGAACUCUCAAAGAUUGCUGAGCAGGCCAGCAAGCCGGGAAAGGAGCUGAAGUUGCAAGUUUCAAGAUGUCCAAUUUUAUGACCAAGAGUGUUUCAAACAAUUUGUUUUCUAGAGUAAAACAAGAAUGGAUGUAAUUUGUGAAAUGUUUCAUGUAAUGGGAGCACAAAAUGAUAAAAGGUGACAAGCCUCUAUACUUAUUAUAUCUAUAUUUUGCUUUUGUCUAUUGUCAGAAUUGGUUAAGAGGAAGUGGUCACGGAAUUGCAGCUGCAAAGGAUGGAUGCAAAACUAAAUGUAGCAGGUUGGAUGUCAGAAAAGAUGGGAGGUUUAAGGUUGGCGAAUCUAUAUACUCUUGUGACCUAAUGCAAGGGUGCAUUUGUAAAUAAUUCUUUGUUAUUAUAUCCAUUAUUGUCAUAUUAAAUGCUACUAGUAAUAUUCAUUUUAUUUAUUGGAUUUAAAUACUAAUUGAAGUUUAGGAGAAUACAAGAG